GGAAUAUAAGAACCCGUCUCUUAACUUUUAACUAAAAAAACUAAGAACUGGUUCUUAAAUAAGAGUUUUAAGAGCCAGGUCUUAACUUUUUUAGUUAAAAGUUAAGAGACGAGUUCUUAUAUUCC
rfam:Brassica oleracea var. oleracea cultivar TO1000 chromosome C5, whole genome shotgun sequence